rnacentral:rRNA from 1 species
GCCCACAUAUAUAUAGCCCUAUAAAUUACAAGUAAUAGAAGCAACUAAAUAUAAAAUUACAUAGUACAGAAAUGGAAAACUUAAUAAAAUAAAGUAAUUAUUAACUAAUAUACCUCGUGCAUUAUGGUUUUACAAGAAAAUAAUUAAAUACACAUAUCCCGAAUUCUUAAUGAGCUGAUAAACUGCUGUUAUGAACCCAUUAAUAACUGUGGAAAAAGUUUUAAAAGACAGUUUAACAGAGGCUACAUACCAUACGCAUAAGAAUAUAGCUGGUUUUCAACAAACAUUAUACAUUAAAACAUAUAGUAGUACUAUAGUGUAAUAUUAUUGAGGAUAAGCCCAAUAACCUAAUGCAAUAAAUAAUUUAUUCCAACUUAACUUUAUAGGCUUAAAAUCAGCCAACUAAAAUACCUUACCGUAAUAAAUAUUGGUAAAUAUACAUAUAUUUAAUAUGCUAAAAAAAGUUGAAAUAGUGUAUAAACUAAAUAAUACACCCAUAAUAUGUAAAAAUAAGUAUUACAUAAUUAUAUUAAUAAAAGUCAAGAACAAUCAUCACUCAAGUAAUAAUAAUUAAUUAAGGAACUCGGCAAAUAAUUAUUUCGACUGUUUAACAAAAACAUUGUCUUAUGAACUACAUAUUAGAUAAUACCUGCCCAGUGACACGAAUGUUCAACGGCCGCGGUAUCCUAACCGUGCAAAGGUAGCAUAAUCACUUGCCUAUUAAUUGUAGGCUAGAAUGAACGGGCUAACGAAAUAAAAACUGUCUCAAUUAAUUUACUAAAAAUUAUUCUCUAUCUGAAGAAAGGUAGAUAAUCUCGAAGGACAAGAAGACCCUAUAGAGCUUAAUACUAACUAUAGAAUUACACUAUAAAAGUAUUCGGUUGGGGCGACCCAGGGUUUAAUAAUCACCCAUUUUAUAAAAGAUAUAUUAGUCAAAUAAGUGACCCUUAAAAGAUCAUAAAACAAAGCUACCUUAGGGAUAACAGGCUAAUCCCACUCAAGAGUCCUUAUCAACAGUGGGGAUUGGCACCUCGAUGUUGGCUUAGGGUAUCUAUAUUAGCGCAAAAGCUAUAUAAAGAUGGUUUGUUCAACCAAUAAUUCCCUACAUGAGCUGAGUUCAGACCGGCGUAAGCCAGGUUAGCUUCUAUCCUCGACACUUAACACUCUGUCCCUAGUACGAAAGGACCUGGAUAAAAUAAUAAAUUAUAUUAAAGAACACAUGUAACUAAAUAUUAAUAGCCUCAAAUAUAUACUAUA